AACGAACGCUGGCGGCGUGCCUAACACAUACAAGUCGAACGGAAUUGAGGGGCUUGCUCUUCAAUUUAGUGGCGCACAGGUGAGUAACGCGUGGAUAAUCUGCCUGACGAUCUGGGAUAACAUCUCGAAAGGGGUGCUAAUACCGGAUAAGCCCACGGGGACUUCGGUUCUUGCGGGAAAAGGGGGGGACCUUUCGGCCUUCUGUCGUCAGAUGAGUCCGCGUACCAUUAGCUAGUUGGGAGGGUAAAGGCCUACCAAGGCUACGAUGGUUAGCUGGUUUGAGAGAAGGAUAAGCCACACUGGAGCUGAGACCCGGACCAGACUCCUACGGGAGGCAGCAGUGGGGAAUUUUGCGCAAUGGGCGAAAGCCUGACGCAGCGACGCCGCGUGAGUGAUGAAGGCUUUCGGGUCGUAAAGCUCUGUCAAGGGGAAAGAAGUGUAUUGUGGCUAAUAUCCACGAUACUUGACGGUACCCCUAAAGGAAGCACCGGCUAACUCCGUGCCAGCCGCCGCGGUAAUAC
rnacentral:rRNA from 1 species